UACAGAGGUCCCGAGCGUUGUUCGGAUUCAUUGGGCGUAAAGGGUGCGUAGGCGGCAUGGCAAGUCGGGUGUGAAAUCCCGGGGCUCAACCCCGGAACUGCACUCGAUACUGUCGUGCUCGAGUGUUGGAGAGGAGACUGGAAUUUACGGUGUAGCAGUGAAAUGCGUAGAUAUCGUAAGGAAGACCGGUGGCGAAAGCUAGUCUCUGGACAACUACUGACGCUGAGGCACGAAGGCCAGGGGAGCAAACGGG
rnacentral:rRNA from 1 species